CAUGGCACCUCUUAGAAAGGAAAACAUUUCACUGAGGUGGUGGUUUACGGUUUCAGAGGUUUUGAUAGUUAUCAUCAUGGAGGGGAGCAUGGCGGCUGGGAGUGUGGCAGCGUGCAGCCAGCCAUGGUGCUGGACAAUUCUACAUCUUGAUCCAAAGGCAACUGGAAGUGAACUGGGAAAAUUAGCAGCUUGAGCAAAGGAGACCUCAAAGCCCACCCCUACAGUGACACACUUCUUCCAAAAGGCCACACCUCCUAAUGGCUCCACUCUCUUUGGGGGCCAUUUUCUUUCACACUACCACAUGCACCAUGCAUGUACCUGAGAUCAGAACCUAAGUGUUCCUAGAAGGGAGAAAGUGAAGGCUAAUAUGAUGUUGAGAGCUACAGAUGUCAGCUACAGAUAAGGGCAUAGGAUCCUCUGGAACUGGAGUCACAGCUGGUUUGUGAGCCACCAUGCAGGGGCUGGGAAUGGAACCUGAGUCCUCUGCAAGAGUAGCAGGGCUCUUACCCACUGAACCCUCUCCCCAUCCCAGGAGCUUUGACGUUGUGUUUUCUCUGACUCCUCUUUUUGGAUUUCCUGUUACUUCAGUGCUGGGUUUCCUAGAUUUAUCUGAGAUUUCCCCCUUUAUUUUCUAGUGAUUUUUCUUUUAACACACUCUCAAAUAUUUCAACUUUUUCUGUUUGCCCUUUCAAUUCCUAAUAGUUCAUGUCAUUAAUGUCCUGUACUUCCUGUCUUAUGGUUACAGUAUCUUUUUUAAAAACCACAUUGAAGAUAUGAGUCUUUCCUGAAGCUUUUCCAGCUUCUUGUUCUAUUCCUAGUGUCCUCCAGUUCCUUUUUCCUUCAGUUCUAUUGCUUGUUUUUAACAUUGGUGGCAUUUAUUUUUCUAUUUAUUUAUUUUUAGAAAGGGUCUUAUUAUGUAGACUUGGCUUACCUCGAAGUCACUAUGUAGACCAGGCUGGCCUCAAACUCCGCCUGCCUCUGCUUCUCCAGUGCUGGGACUAGAGGCAUGCACCACCAUGCCAAGCAAUGUGGUAGCAUUUAUGAGUCAUGUACUAGGCUGGAGAGAUGGUUCAGUGCGUGAAGCACUUGCUGUGCAGGCCUGAUGACCUGAAUGGAUUUCAGAACCGUUAUAAAAGCUGGAUGCACUAGCUUGUCUCUAAUCUCAGUGCAUCCCAUAGGAAAAUGGGAGAUGGAGAUAGGAAAAUUGCCAGAAGCUUGUGGGCCAGCUACCCUCAUCUACCCACUAGUGACUAAGAUAGACCUUGACUCAAAUAAGCUGGAAGGCAAGACCUGAUACCCAACUGGGUCCUCUGACUUCCAGAUGCAUGCUAUGGUACCACCAUCCCCACCCCCCGAAAAAAACCCCACUUGCAUGAGUUAGGAAUUUACUAGCUCUUAAGACUGCUGGGAAUAGUGACAGUAAUCUCAGCACUUCUGGGACAUGGGAGGGUGAGGCAAGAGAACCUCAAGUUCUAUGCCAGCCUGGGCUCCAUAGUAAGACCAUGUCUCAGACAAACAAAUGAGCAAAAGCAAACAAGAGCUGGUAAGAUGUGAUGAGAGGAUCAUGUGGGAUCCUAAAUAUAAGGGUUUCUACUUUUGCAGGGACUACUUAAAAACAUGUGCUGGGCUGCUGGAAGUGUAAUUCCAGCUGGCAGCAUGUUGGUGUCUAAGCCAAAGUUACAAGAGGGAUACCUCAGAAUUUGCAUGUGGACCUCCAUGCAUUCCCUUUGUGGGGCAUUCUAACUAAUGCCUGCCACCUCAUGAAGAAAAAGCAUCCCGUGAGAAAAGAAGUUUGCCAACUAUGUUCUGCUCCAUCCUAUGCCUCACUCCUGCUUUCCACAUUGACUCUGAUGCUACAAGAUUAUGCUAUAUAAUCUUCCUACUUCAACAACCUCCCAAGUGGUGCAAUAUCCAAGAAAUCACUACUCAAAAGUCACAAAGCAGGCCAGAGAGAUGAGUCAGAAGUUAAGAGCACUUACUGCUCUCACAGAGGACCCAGGUUUGGUUCCCAGCACCCAUACUAGGUGGCUCACAACCACCUGUGACUUCAACGCCAGGGAUCCAACACUCUUCUGGCCUCUGUGGGCACAUACAUAGAUGUAGACACAUGCAUAUAAAUAAAAAUAAAUCUUAAAAAAUUACAUUAUAAAAUGGCUGCAGUCCAGACUGUGUGUUCUCCUAAUAGUUUUAAAUUUUUAGCUCUUAUUUGCAGGUCAGUGAAGUAUUUUAAUUUUUUUGUUUCUUUUGUGGCAGGGUAUUCUUAUGUAGCCCAGGUUAGCCUUAAACAUGAUAUAUAGCCCAAUGGGCCCAGAACUUCCAAUCAUCUUACCUUACCUCAGGAAUGCUAGAUUUACAGGUACUAAAUAAAUGUAUGCUUGGCUUGAGUUAACUGUAUGCAAUGCAUUUUUCUUUUCUGUCAUUUCAGAUAAGUAUUCAGCCUACCAUGGUCCUUGUCUGAAAUGCAUAUCAUCAAAGUCUUGUAAAUAUUCCUCAAACACUAGAAAAAAUGAAAUCUUUUAAUGCCUUUUUUUUCUGAAAAGAAUCAAGUGGGAUAAUAGUCUCAAGUCUGUUAAAAUUUUCAAAGUAUUAAGGUGGUUUUCACUCAUUUAUACUUCCUAUUUAUCUCAGUGUGUUCUUGCUUCUUAAAAUUCCAUCUCUCAAGGCUGGAGAGAUGCUCAGUGGUUAACACCAGGUGCCGUUCUUGCAGAAGCCCCAGGUUUGGUUCUGAACACCCUUAACAGGUGGCCCACAACCACCUGUAACUCUAGCUACACUCUUUUCUUCAGGACACUGCACAUACUUCUCAGACAGAUAGACAUAUGCACCUAAUUUUAAGAAACAAAAUCUUUGUAAAAAAUUACAGCUCUUUAAAAUCAGAAAGCAGCUGUUUUAUGCUUUUUCUUUUCCCAUCUCAUAAAGUAAACUUUAAGAUAAUAUUUUACUCCACAGACCCUUACUUUCUUCUUCUCUCUUUUGUAACUAAACAUAUCUUAAAGAUACAGGUAAUUUCUUCUAUCAUUCCCUUGUAAUUUUGAUUUGUUAAGAUUUUGCUGUUAUUUUACAUAUUUUGAGGGAUAGUUUCUAUAACUUGACCCUGACAGUUUAAGCAGUUACCUGGAUGUGCCAUCAAGAAUCAUGUUUGUCAGAGUAGCCACCCAAACCCUGUAUUCAGUGACAACUAGACUAGCAAUGGGUGACAGCAGAGUCACACACAGGUCCCGGGGGAGCAAUGUUAAGAACACACCAUGAUCAGUUUGGACUCUCCGGUCUAGAUGCUUACUGACAUGUGAGCCACUGAGCCUUUGUCCUAUGUCACAGGUGUGGACUCUCUCUGUACCCAAUGCCAGCUCUAAGUGAAAUUAUCUUUUCAAGUCUGACAAGCCAGCUUCAUUUUUAGAUGCUAUUAGUGAAAAUACAUGCAGGUAAGUCAAGAAACAGUUCCUGCUGCUUUCACUUCCACAAUCAUCCCUUUCUGAAAAUCUGGGACUAAGGCAAACCUGUUCAUAAAACUACUUCAUGACUUGGCUCCUAAGGUCUAAGUCCUGCAGGAAAAGUAUUUAUGAUAUUAUUCAAGUCUUUAUAAUUAAACAAAACACCUAACCAUCAUUCUACAAUCCUCUUUCUUUUUAUAUGAAUCUUGUAACCCUCUAAUGUUGGGUGGCAGUGACAUGUGGAUAACAUUUUUCAAAUGCCCACUGUAGAAUACCAUGUAGUACAAUCUAUUUAAAAUACCCUCUGACAUCACUAAUGGAGGGUGACAGGAAGGAGGGAAAGAGAGUUACUGUGGAAGGUCACAGAGCUUCUAUUUGGGGGAAUGAAAAAGUUUUGGAAAUAUAUAGUUGUGACAGUUCAACAACAUUGUAGGUAUUAAUGCCACUGAAUUGUAAACUCAAAAAAAAUGUCUUUUAAAGUAAAUUUUAAGUUGACCAUGACCAUAGGCACAUUCCUAUAAACCUAGCAACAGACACUGAGGCAGAAGCUCAUGGCCAGACCAGGCUACAUACGAGACACUGGUAAAGAACAAAACUAAAAGGUAAAUCUUAUGUUCUAUAUAUUUUACCACCAAAUAAAAGAGAAUAAGUCACACUUGAAGACUAUGGAACAUGCUACCUGAAAGCGGCAAUGCUUUGAUGUCAAUCAUUUGAUAAAGCAGCAGAAGACACUGAGAAUAAUAAUUUUGCUUUGGCUUUUAACUACAGUUUAUCUUUAUGUGUCUGUGUGUCUGUGUGUCCAUGUAUGUGAACAUGUGUUUCAAGGCCAGAGGUCAGCAUCAGGUGUCUUCCUCAAUGGGUUUUGCACAUUAUGUUUGGAGACAAGGUCUCUCAGUGGACCUGGAGCUCAGUGAUUUGGCCAUGUUGGCCAGCCAGCCCCAGGAACUCCAUCUCUGCCUCCCCAACACAGAAAUUACAAGUGACUGCUUCCAUCCCCCACUUUUUGUGUGGGUUCUUGAGAUCCUAACUCAGGACCUCACCCUUGGAUGGAAAGCAACUUACUAAGGUUGUGAUUUACCUUUUUAACUUUCUAAUUUUUAUAUGUUUAUGGGUGUUUUGUCUGAAUGUAUGUCUGUGUUCCAUGUGCAUGCCUGAUGCCCAAGGAGGCCAGAAGAGGACCCCCUGGAACAGGAGUUGUAUAUACGUGGUUGUGAGCUUCCAUGUGUGUGCUGGGAUCAAACCUAGGACCCCGGAGGGGCAGCCAGUGCUCUUAAUCACUUAGCCAUUUAUCCAGCUCCGGAUUUACCUUUUAGAGAGAAAAUAUCCUAGAAGCAGAAUAAAGUGACAAACAGGAUACCUGACUAGAGUGCAGCUUCUUAUUUUCCAGGUGGCUCUUCUCCUGUAGCAGGGCUUCCUUCUUAGAGACGAUGGCUUCACGUUUCUUCAGGUCUUCUUCCAGCAUCUCUAGUUCUUGGCGUUGGUUCAAAACUUUCUCUACUUCUUCAUCUAACCAUUUCUUUUGCUCAUCCAAUUUCUACAUUAAAAGAAAUACUGUGGUUUGUUUCUCCCCUACCAUAAAGACUCUUAUCAUUUUAAAUGGCUAGAACUUUAAAAAAAUGAACAUUAAAAUUAUUCAUCUUCCCAUUUGGCUCUGAUGAUUCUAGUUAACAUGUUGCUGUGUUGUUUUGUAGAGAGUUAAAGUUUAUUGUCCUACAGUGUUACUCAAGCUAUUUUUGCCUGGCAAAGGCAUUAGUUUUCUCUACAUCUGUUAAAGCCAGGCUGGGCAUCUCCACCUCUACAUCUGUUAAAGCCAGGCUGGGCAUCUCCACCUCUACAUCUGUUAAAGCCAGGCUGGGCAUCUCCACACGUUUGGAGGCCAUGCUUCCACCGUGGCUCUCUUGAAGCAGCCGUCCUCCAACCUGAGCUACCUGAAAGACUCCAUGAGCAGUACUUUUCAGCUCUCUAUGAUUCAUUUCGGACGUGCUGCCUGGCCUGCAGAUGGUAUCUGAUACAAGGUCAAAUGAGUAAGUAAAUAAAUGUCUUAUUCAGUCAUCCACUGGAAUAAAUACUCCAUGAAAAAACAAAUCUACUUUAUAGAUUGUUAAUUUCAAAUACUGCAAAAUACAACAAAAGGGUGGAAGGAUAUGCAAAGUGUAUUAGUAUCCUGUUAACACAACCAGAAGCAAGUCAAAUAUAGAUAAAACAUGACUAAGAUACAUCCUAUCACAAGCACACUGAAAUGUCACUAAAGGCACUAAAACAACAAAUAAAUAGAGAAGUCAACACAGCACAGAAAGAACUGGAAAUCUAUUAAGAGAGUGAGAAAGCAGACAUGGUGUCCCAAGCCUGUAAUCUUGCACUCCAGAAAAUUUCAGAGUAACCUCGGCUUACCUGAGACCCUGCCACAAAACAACAACAACUAGAAACGAGGCAACAAAAAACACACGAGAGGAGAGAGCAGUGAGGCCAAGGCAACUAAGGCGCAAAGCCAGUUAAUCUCCCAACAGACCCGUGAAGUCUGGCCUUGCGAGCAUUCAAUCCACCCAACACUGAUGCCCACAGGAGCAGCAGCCCUGCAGUUACCAGGAGUGGGAAGUGUUCAAAUACUUCAGUUAGCCUAGACCCAGGAAAAGGCCUUAGGAAGUCCAAUUAAGUUAAUAUUUACAGCACUUCUCAACUGUGAGUGGGGUUUCCAGUAGACAAAAAGACAAUUACAAUUGUUGAAAAUAUUUCUGAGUGCAAAUGGUAUCUGUGGGAAUACAUUCAUACUCUAAAUGUUACUAUUAAAAUAGGUAAAAUGUAAAUAUUUUUCAAAAUUUAAAUAGAUGUAUUUGUAUUCUGAAUAUGAUUACAAUUUUAAGUAUACUGUUUUUCUUAAAUAAAUAUUUUCAAUUUCUUUGACCUUGGAAA